AUAUAUUUAGGUGAAAUUUCAUAUGAAUUUUUGAAAUUCAAGUAUUUUAACUAUGUUUAAAAAAAUAUA
rnacentral:tRNA from 1 species